rnacentral:lncRNA from 1 species
CCAUUUUAUUAUUCAGACAUGUAUAUAUGUGUAUAUUUCUGUUUCAGAAAGAUUUAGUGACAAUAGAUUUUUUGAGAAUGGGAGCCAAUUUGAUGUUAAAUAAAAAAAUAAGAUCUACCUCAUGUUUAAAGCACUCUGCAAAUGUUACAGAAUAUUUUAAGAUCUUAUCUGAAUUAUUUCUGUCAGUAAAUGAAGGAAGAAGCUACUUCAAAUUCCCCCAGACAUUUCAUUUCUUUCAUCAAACAUAUCUUCAUACAUGUGCCCUAAUGUAUAUUAAAAAUUGCCAAGUAGAAAAUUGCAGUCACAAACUCAUUUUGAUUUUUUAUAGUUAUCUUUUCCAAAUGUUUGUAUACAAGACAUCACUAUACACUGCUGAGAUAAAUGCAUACAAGAAAAAAUGCAUAAAAAAUAAAUAAAAGCUUAACAUAAACUGGAAGAAGUUGGAUUCAUAUAGAUAAGGAGGUCACUAUUAGAUAAUACUCUAUGAGUAUCUGAGACUUUAACACUGCAUUAUUGAAUAGUUAAAACUGAUGGUUUUAUCUUUAUUCUACAUGUAUGAGAUGUAAACUGUGAAUGUCACUGAUGUUUAUGCUAUCUAAGGAGCUGCUGUCUUAUCUUUUGUUGGUUCUUAGCUCUAUAUUUUGAGAGGUCUCAUAGAAUUGGAGCAAUUCUCUAAACCUGCUUUCCAUGGGGUUCUGCUUCACUGAGAAGGUUUGGUGUUUUAAAUUAUAUGGAAGUUUUUCUAGGAGCUUUAUAUGCUUGAUGGCAGAAAGCUGAAGAGUCUUUGGAUGUGAUCUGGACAAUCUUGCCACCAACAUUGGGCUGAAUAGUUGAUGUGAGGUCAGUUUUCCUGCAGUAUGACUGAGGGUUCAUGCCAUUUUGGUGAAUCCAGACCAUGUAUUUUAGAGUAAAGACCUAAGGUGUGGUUCUAAGUGCUCUCACCUAGCAUGCAAUUUACACAUCCAAGGAGGGUGAAGCUUUAUUUUGUAAUACUGCACCACGAGGAAUGCCUUGAUUUGGCAAGCCAUUGUUUAUGGUCACUCCUUAUACUAAGAAGAAAAAGUUUAGCCUUCUUUCUGAUAGAAGCCAGAAUGUCCUACAGACAUUCAAGAUCUGAAUAGCUGAAGAAGACAAGGCCAGAAAGUAACACAAUAUUAAGAUGGUGAUGGUACUCUGUUGUGUUUUACUUUUCAAAAUAUGGUAGGACCUUAUGUGACUGAAGCUAUCUCCCUUGAUGAAACUAACAUGCAAAAGACAUUGGGUACAUUUUUCAUUAUACCUUGCCAAUCAAAUUUCCCAUCCUGAUUUUUUUUGGUUAAAAAUUAAUUAAUCAAAGUGUGUCAUAUUUCUCAGAAGGUGAAUUUUUUACAUUUCUGAGCUUAAAGCCAAUAGAAAGCUGGCACUAAUAACUUAAAAGUAAGUCAACCCUUUAUGUCAGUGACUAUUCAGAUAUUAAAGUCACAUAAUAUGUAGAGGACUUUGAAGAAUUCAUUUUCUUCAGCAGGAAUAGUGGUCCCACAGAGAAUCCUCAUUUAUAACUAGUAUCUCAAAUCUUGUGGUUGUAAAAAUGUUACCUGUCGAAUUUUAAAAUCAGGCCAGAUUUAUAGUUGCUGCAGCAGCAAGGCUGGAUUUUUCUGGCAUAAUAAAUUUUAUCAAAUAAUUGUUCCAUAUCUUUUACAAAAAUUAUUACACUAGUUAAGUUUAGAAUUUCUUUAGGCAUGCUUGAGGUUAUGUUUAAUCACAUUUAACCUAAUUUGGGAAGGCAGUUCUACAUUUAAAUACAUUUUAUACAACAUACAAAUUCCCACAUUAGAUUAUAUAAGAUUUGAGACAUCUAUAACCCAAUACUGAUCUAAAUUCCCAAGCAAGAAUAUACUAAAUAUACACUUAAUUGCUUGUAAUUAUUUAAGCAUAUUGAAAACAUUAAAAAAUUGUGAAUAUCCUUGAACACUUGGAAAAAAUUUUGUAUACAUGUAUAUAUGAAAAUACAUAUAUUUUCACAUUUAAAUGGGCCUACAUGUCUAGAAAAUCUUUAUAAAAAAGGAGGACAUAUACAUUGGUUACAUAGAAAAUAGGUGCGUACUAGCUAAAUAUGUCAGUUAGUCCCCUGUGAAUUCUGCAUAAGCUGAAGAAACCACAGAGCGCAUUACAUGUAUCAUGUACUUAAGCAUUAUUAAUUUUUAAAACUUUCUUGGAAAACGUUUGGGCAAUAAAACUAAAAAUUAAUAACUUCUAAAACCAUAAAUUAUUAAGACGUCCAUUUCUUGCUACAUCAUAGUAGCUUUUAUCAAAUCAACUAUCACACUGAGACAACAAGAAAGCCUAGAUUGAAGAACAAAGAAAGAAAACCAGGACCUGAAAAGUCAAGGCUACAGAGAGAGCAUAGGCUGACCUUGUCUACUGUGCUUUCCCCUCUGUGUGUUUCCUGAGUGUGUCAGAGAAGCCAAGCAGAAAGUAGAGACUGAACAGUUUUAAAAGUCUCCUGGGAAAAAUUAUAAUCAAGGAAUAAAAAAGUCAGCUAGGCCAAGGCCCUGGAAAAAGGGUACCACAGAGAAGUGAAACCAACAUUGUAUAGACAUUUGGUGCUGCAGGUCAGUUGUCUGGGUGGCCUUGGAGUGACCUAGUUCUCUCCCUUUUCUUGCUUGGAGUUCUCAGGAACAGCUGUAGAUUGUGAUGGGAAUGCAACGUCUUGAGUUAGGGAGGAACUACUCUGGUACAGCCUUGGCUUUACUCCACUUUUCCCUGGAAGCCAGAUGUCUUUCAAAGAUUUGCCUGAUGAGUUACGUGCCUCUGAUGUAUAUAAUCCAGGGUGGGCUUCCUGUUGGGGUUCCUCAGCUGUAAUGCAAGUGGGACAUGCUCAGUUGAGACUUCACUUGCCCUGUGCAGCUUUGUUGAGGCAUGGAGGGAUUGGCUCACAACAGAUCCUAAGCUUCUUUUGUCUCUUGCUGCCUAUCUGUGAGUAAUAAAUCUGUUGCACAUAACUUGUUGUGUGUAUGUUUUGUCUCACCAGACUCAGACAAAUGGUAAUUAGUAAACCUGCUUUACAAAAUUGACAUAGUGAGUAGAGGCUGGUCUGAAAGAACCAUGGCUUAUGGGCAAAGUAGGGGCAGCAAAUAACCCCCAGGCUGGCACUGGGGGUUACUGCUCUACCCACUUUGCCAAUAAGCAUCAGCCUGGGCAAACAGGGGCUGGAUGUGCAGCUGGAUGUUUGAUCAGGAAAGAAGGGUGAUAAGGUAGGCAUAGGUCACCUCCCCCACCCAGAUGUGUGAGCUGGUUGCUGAUUGAGGCAGAGAGAGAGGAAUGCAGAAACAGGGGAGCACGGCACAGGAUCCCCUGGCUUUGGACACUUAUGUGACUGUUCAUUCCUGGCUAGAGAACUGGGAAAGUGAGUACUCAGAAGAACCCUGAAAGGGAACUAACACGUGUGCUAUGUGGGCCUUCACAGAAAGAGAGACUCAUUAUCUAAAGCAUAAAUAUAGAGAAAGGCCAGAGGAAUCUCAUGCAGCCUGGUUGAUUUUUUUUUUUUUUAAAUCAAGGGACAUUGCAAAUCCAAAUGUCUCAGGCAGAAUGGUACAGUUAGAAAUGGGGCCAGUCAGCCUGAGAAAUUAGGUUCUCAACUGGAGGUCAAUGCCAAUGUCCCUAUAAUCCUGUUAAAACAAGAGGAGAAAAGAAAGGAACUCGGACUUUUCUGGGGGCUCUUGGAUAUUAGAGCCCACAUAACAAUACUUCCAGGUCCCCUUAGGGGAAAAAUUAAACUGAUGACCUCAGGAGAAUUGGGGACAAAUAUGUGACUCGCAGUACUUAUUUGCUUAUGCUUGGGGUCCUUUGAGCCAUUUCAGGUGCCAGAGACUGUGGUUCCCAUAGCUGAGUACAUGAGAGUUGUGAGACAAAGUAGCAAGCAUCAUGCAUCCCUUAAAUAUAUACACCUACUAUGUGCCCACAAACAUAAAAAAUAAAAAGAAGCCAUGUGUAUAAGUCAGGGUUCUGUAGAGGGACAGAACUAAUAGGCGAUAUGUAUAUAUAGCCUAUUUUGUAUAUAUAUAUAUCACCUAUUAUAUAUAUAGGAGUUUAUUAAAGAGUAUUAAACUAAUACGAUCACAAGGUCCCACAAUAGGCCGUCUGCAAACUGAGGAGCAAGGAAGCCAGCCCGAGUCCCAGAGCUGAAGAACUUUAAGUCCUAUGUUUAAGGGCAGGAAGCAUUCAGCACAGGAGAAACAUGUAGGCUGGGAGGCUAAGACAGUCUAGUCUUUUCACAUUCUUCUGCUUGCAAUUUAUCCUAGUCAUGCUGGCAGCUGAUUAGAUUGUGUCCACCCAGAUUAAGGCUGAGUCUGUCUUUUCCAGUUCACUGACUCAAAUGUUAGUCUCCCUUGGCAACACCCUCACAGAUACACCCAGAAUCAAUACUUUGCAUCCUUCAAUCCAAUCGAGUUGACACUCAGUAGUAACCAUCACACUAUGCUCAUUUCUGCUUUCCAGCAUGAUUUCACAAAGCCCCUGACUCUGUGAUGAUGUGCAGCUCUCAGAAAGACGCUUUAAAGACAAAACAGGAUAGACCACUCCCACCCCCAUGCCUCUUGCCCUAGUCACUGUAUUCCUUAGAAGAUAAAUAAUCCUAGUCCUUUCCUCUUCUACAGAUAAGAUAAUGUCUGACAGGGUUAGUGAUUAUGCCUCUGUAAUCUAUAGCCAGAUGUACUCUUACACCCAAACCUUGAUCUGAUUCUGCUCUAAUAUAACUUCUGAACAAGUUUAAUACAAUUUUACAUGUACUAAACACUUACCAUCUCUAUAUAAGCAUUGGGCUAAAAUACUGUGCCAAACAGUCUAAUAAAAACCCUCCACAGGGCUGCCACCAGGCUAUAGGCCUUGGUCUAUAGUCCUCAAUAAAACUUAUAAAUAAAACCCACCGUAACUCUUUAAAAGCUUUUUUUUUCUUUAGUUGACAUACGCAUUGACACUCUGGCUGCUUGUGGAACAGAAUAUCACCACAUCAUAGCCAAGAAUUCGAGCCUAACAGUGGAACAUAUCCACUUCAGCCUGCCACCUAAGCUACCCAAGUCCCAAGUUUCUUCCGCAAAAGCAGUACUGCAAGCUAAGUGGAAAAUAGGGUAUUAUUUUGCUAAUUCAGGCCUUGCUACACACUACACUAUCACAAUGUAACAGCCUCUUCUGGCUGGUCAAAAAGGCCUUUGGGGCACAGAGACUAACAAUGGACUGUCCAGGCUGAAUGCCAGAGUCACUUGGGCAGGAUGCCAAAAAGGUAUUCCAGAGACAGUGAAAUAAAUAUUUUUAACCCUGGAGGUACUCACUAAUAAAAAGGAGGCCUAAUAGCUGGCAGGCAUCUUUGGGUACUAGAGACAGUAUGUACCCCACCUGGGUGUUCUGUUGGUCCCCUUAGUCAGGUGACCAGCAAAGCUACUAACUUUAAGUGGAACCCUUUGCAGCAGCAGGCUUUGGAAGCCAUUCAAUGAGCUGUGGCCCAGGCACUGACUUUAAAAGCUUUAAAGCCUGCUACCCUGAUGAAAUGACAUGUGUGCAUAACCACUCUGCAUGUGGAUUGGAGUCUGUGGCAACAGAAAAUUGCCAAUGGGGUGUGCAAGCCUCUUGGAGUUUGGACAUGUAAGUUGCCUGAGGCCGCCUGCAGAUACACCUCUUUUGAAUGACAACUCCUUGCUUGCCAUUGGACACUAAAGGAGACUGAGCAUCUUGUGACUGAACUGCCACAAAAGACACUGCAACUUGAACUGUCCAUUCUCACCUGGGCACUCACAAACCUUGCCAAUGAAAUUGGACAGGCUCAAUACAGCUCAAUGAUCAAAUGGAUAGGAUACAUUCAAAAGAUUGGGCUUAGCAGCCAAGAGACCAGUAGGCUCCAUGAGCAAGUGGCUAACUUGCCAGAAGGGACUAAACAACAUGUAGGGGAUGUUUUGGAUCCUCCUAUGGAUACCUGGGGCCCAAGACUGAGACGUGCCUACUGACAGUAUGACAUGGCUUGUUUACUGAUGGCUCUUCCAAAUGGCAAGCAGGCAGGGUUCCCUGGGCUGUGGUAGCCAUCUAGCCAGUGGAUAGGUAUCUCAUGGCUGAGACUGGACAUGGGCAUUUUGAACAAUGGGCCAAACUACAUGCAGUGGUGAUAGCCACAUAGACUUCCUCUACCACCCUAUCUUGCUACAUUUUCACUGACUCAUCAGCUGUUGCCAACAACCUAGACAUCUCGUCAGAAGAAAGGCAACUAAGUGGAUGGAUUAUUAAAGGACAAGUACUAUUACAAUAACUUGCUGUCUGGAAUGGGAAAGUAUAUAUGUCACUCAUGUGGAGGAUGGGACUAACAUAGCUUCUCUUAAAAGGAACACAUGUCAUGUUUUUGAUUACCCCACGGAACUUCACUCUGACCAAGGAAUGGUUACUACCCAAAUAACACAACAAUGUGUGCAUUCUCCUAAAAUACAAUGGACUUUCCAUACACUUUGUCAUCCUCAGGCCAAUGGAGCUGUUGAAUGGUGGUGGAGCCAACUCACAAAACAACUGAAGAAAUGACAUCAAGAUGGCCUGCUAAUGGAGUGACAACCCCUUCUGACUAGAGCAAUGUGGUCACUAAACACUGCACUCUAAUCCAAGGGAAACAUGGUACUGCAGCUCAAGUUGACAGAGCUUGGUGGAGGUGGAGGUGGACUAAGUAGCUGCCUGGAGGUUGACAGAGAUGCAGAGCUUGGUGGAGGUGGAGGUGGACUAAGUAGCUGCCUGAUUAGGCUGUGCCUGCAAAAUCCCAAUUCCAGUGUUCCAAACUAUGAUUUUUGUUCUUCCCCUUUACAGUGCAUGUCCUGGAGGGUGGUUUGCAGUUUAGGCCACCCUAGUACCCCAGACAAGGCUCCCUAACUUCAAGGUGAUACUUCUCCUGGGUUCUUCUCCUCUAUGGGAUUCCACAGAGGUGGAGAACAAGACCAAGGAAUACCAGGAUGCUAGGGUUCCCCUGGAGGCAGGGAGCGUUUAAUCCUUCCAGUAUAGUGGAUGUUAUCAGACAUGUCAAGUUAAUACAGGAUAUAACCUCCCUUCCUAGGCUGGAUGACACAGGCCCAAAGGUCUGGGUCAAGCAACAAGAAUAAUGAGUGAUCACAAAGGUAUUAGCCUUGGGACUGGGGCAGACAGAUGGGUUCACUACACCAACUCAGCCCAACCCUUAUGCAAUAGGUAGGGGAUACCUGAGAUCCUGGGAGGGUAGAGGGGUGGGAAACUAACUUGUUAAUCUGCUUUUUCCACGAGGACAGGGUAGUACAGGCCUAGAAAUAUAAUAUCAUUUUUAGGCUCUCCCAGACUGUGGCAAUGUGGAUAAUCUGAUAAAGUGUUGGAUCUUUCAUAUGGGCCUCAUUCUGUCACAGACCACAGUUACCUGCCAGUGAUAAAACCACACCAGCAUUCCUUAAUGCCACAGUGUACACUAACAGAACCUGAGCAGCCCUAGCUUAUUGAAUGAGGAUCUGGUACCUGUUGCAUGGGAGAGAGCAGAAGGUUCUCUGUUUUAACUUAUAACUGACUGUGUGGCAAAAUAUCACAACUAUAACUAAACAGAAUCUUGGUGGGCUUGUGCUCUGAUGCACUAAGCUCCUCUGAUUACAUGGAUCAGAAAUGUUACAGUGGUAAUAAAGAAAACAAGAACUGGACCAGUGCUAGUCCUCUGCAUAGGAGUUUCAUGAACAAUAUUAUAUGAAGGAAAUUGGGCUCAUGCAACUAUGCCAUCAAUGAGACUUGGCUGGGAAAUGUCAAUGCCUCUUUACCAAUGAGUGGCUCACUGAACAAAGAAACAAAGAAAGGGGUGCUGUGUGUGCCCAAGCGUUGCAUCUCUCUCUGCAGGUGGCUGGGGAUGGCCUAGAUACAGGAUAGACAAUGCCAUGCCUGUAAAGCUGGUAGCUGGUGGGAUCCUGCACAUUGGGUGUACUAGGGGUGCCCCUAGAUAUCACCCUGGGAAGGAGAUGCUCCAUUAGGCCAGUGGCCUUAAGCUUUUACACAGGCUUACUAGGAACCCACCAGGAGGUGGGAUUGACUUUGGGUUUAUGUCCUUUAUUAGAUCUUUGAUGUCACACAUGAGUUGGUACUCAUAAAAAAGUAGUAAGAACCCUGCCUCUGACCAUGCAGAUAUUGCUUUUCCACUGCCACUGUCUUGGAAGCCCUAGACAUCCCCCAGAUUCCUCAGGAAAGUUGUUUUAGACAGUGGAAUUGCCCGAGACUUUCUUUUAGCUCAAUUGAGAGGAGUGUAUGUGUUUGGCAAUUCCUACUGCUGUAGCUAGAUAAACACCUUAGGUACAGUAGAGACAUAAGUAGAGGAGAUCUGGAAGCAGGUCCACUGGCUACAAACAGUGGGGCUAUCUGAUAAUCCUUCUUUGCCUUUUUUUUUUAGCAACUUCUUACCUGAGACACUGGUAUCCUGGAUUAGGUCACUGCCUCAAGCAGGUCUGGCUGUCCUGCUAGUGGUGUAGUCCUUUGGGAUCCAGUAAAGGAUUUUCUGUCUGUUACUCAACAGUGUUGCACUGAGUUUGGGUCAGUCAAGGUGCUACAUCAGUCUGGCUAGAUAAACCUCUUCCUCCAGAUCCAGAGAGGUUGGUGGGCAUUUGAAAUGCACUGACUUUGCUACGAGAGAUGUCUGGCUAGAGGGGUAGACCUUAGGACAAUUCUCCAGGUGGCCUUGGACAUACCUAGUUAUCCCUGUUUCUUGCUUGUAGUUCUCAAAAAUAACUAUAGAAUGUGCUGGGAAUGCAACAUCUUGAGUUAGGGAGGAACUGCUCUGGUACAGCCUGGGCUUUACUCCUCCUUCCUGUGGAAGCGAGAUAUCCUUCAAAGCUUUGCCCAGUGAUCAUGCGGCCCCUGGGUUAUAUAACUCAGAACAGGCUGCCAGCUGUGUUUCCUCAGCUGCAGUGCAAGUGGGGCAUGCUCCGUUGAGACUUUAUUCACUCUGGGCAGUUUGUUGAAGAUUAGGUGGUCAGCUCACAAUGAAUCAUAAGCUGCUUUUGUCCCUUGCUGUCUAUGCUUAGAAGCUAAAAGGUUAAGCAGCGAUGUCAGCGCUAUCAGGGAGCUGUGGAGACUGGAAUUGAAGUUCAGAACCUUUCAUGGGAGACAGCUCAGCAAAGGAUUUCCUAUGUGAGUUCCUGAUCCCCUUCUGUUCUGACCUGGUAGUCACACCUGUCAACAAGGUCCGCAAGUUCUGGCCUUUGGAUUCUGGCAGAACAUCAAAACUGGUGAGUAAGUAAUCUCCCAAUAGUUUAUAACUGCAGUUUUCAAAAUUUUGGAAUCAGCAGAAUUACUUCUUCAAAUGAAACCUCACAAGAAUUUCAAUUUAUAAAACGAAUAUAUGCUGAGCCAUUGUUAAGAAAUGGAGGAGCUGAGUGGCAGCUAAGGCAGGAAAGAGGUAAUCCUAGGUUCUUUUCCUGUUUUGUGAGCAUUUUAGACUUUAUGAGAUGAGAAUUUUAGGCUUCAUGAAAUUCACUGAUUAGGUAAUCACUCAGAACUGGGAACUGAAAUCUGAAAAAUCAGAAUACCUGGACACCAGUAACUUUUCAAGUCCAAUAUUUUAAACCAAACAUAAUUUGUAUUUUUAGUGAAACUCAUCAGUUAAAUGACCUUCAAAUUUUACACUAAAUAGGAUGUUAAAAAAAGGAAAAGAGUGACAAAUUUAUUUGGUCACAAUCAGUAAAUACAUUUUCCACUUUCAAGGUUGGAUUUAUGUUUCCUAGAUAGACUCGCUUCUUCAGGGAUAAGGGUGGGGUAGAUCUUGUUCACUUUAUUUUACAAGAACUCUUGCAAGUAUGCCAUUUAUAUGUUCACAUCAAAUAAUCUUCAUGGAUUGCAUGAGGGUUAACUACUAGUAAAUUACCAAAUUAUAUUAACCUAAAAUUAAGUGACCAGAGCUUUUAUUCUUCUUUUUUUAAGUUAUUUUUCUAAAACUCACUUGAAAAAAAUAAGGAUAGUGAAAUAAGCACGAAAGCUAAAAGAAAACAACUAUGGCCAAAAAGAUAUAUGAUGAUAGUUGAUAUGAUUUGGCUGUGUCCUCACCAAAAUCUCAACUUGAAUUGUACCUCCCAGAGUUCCCACGUGUUUCAGGAGGGACCUAUGGGCAGGUAAUUGCAUCAUGGGGGCCGGUCUUUCUCGUGCUAUUCUCAUGAUAGUAAGUCUCUGAUGGGUUUAUCAGGGGUUUCCACUUUUCUGCUUUUGCUUCUUUCUCAUUUUCUUUUGCCUUUGCCAUGUAAGAGUCUUUCACUUCCUACCAUGAUUCUGAGGCCUCCCCUGCCAUGUGGAACUGUAAGUCCAAUAAAAUCUUUUUUUGUUCCCAGUUUUGGGUACGUCUUUAUCAGCAGUGUGAAAACAGACUAAUACACUACUGAUAAUGACAAAUCUAUUGUCUUUUGCUUAAAUAUUCAGUGAAAAAUGUCUGCACAGUCCUCUCUCAAGCAUUUUGAUGAAAGCUACUAUUUACUUUAGGGAAGUGAAAGUGUAUUUAUUAUGAGGGAGCUUUCUUUUACUUUCACCCUGUUAAAGAAACUGUGUAGAAAAUACGCAUUUAAAAGAUCAUUAACAAAGAGCAGAAUUACCAAAAGAACAGACUGGCUAGCCACCGAAGUUUAACUGUUUCUUCAGGUACUCGAAAAUAAAUGCGUAAUUAAUUUACUUUGAUUCCCAAAAGUAUUAAUGAUUAUCUUCAUCCUCCCUCAUUGUCUGGAGGAGAGUAACACAGAAAGCACCAGUAAUUUUCUCACUUCUAAUUAUGUAAGCAAAUAUGCAUUUACAGUUUUGAGAAAUAUUCCUAAGUAAUUGUAAGUAUGGAUUACAUUCUGUUUUAAAUUAUUCCAAAAGUUAAAAUCACAGGAUAAAAUUUUCCUUAGUAUUGCAUGAGUCACCACUGUCCUAAUACAAUUUCUCAGAUACAUAUUCAAUGUAUUCAUGAACCUCUAUUUUAGGACAGAAUUUAUAUAACACACAGCAUUUAUCAUCUUACUUGUCUCUUGUAGAACAACAAAUGGGCAUGUUUUCUAAGUGUUUAAAUAAUGAUUUGAGACAGAUUCUUAUAGCAUCUCUUCGAGGUAUAUAGUAACACCUUUCUCCUAGCAGUAAGGAAACAAAUGAAAUCCCAAGAUAGAUCAAAGACUUGGUAAGAGACUGUAAGAAUUUUUCAGGCCUCAGAACUGCAUUAUCAUUAUUCACUGAGAAAAAUAUAGACAGAAUAUGAACACAUUUGGCAAUAACACUGAAUUGAGCAUUCUUGUUCCCCAUUCAAAGUUAUAAAUUAACUUACUUUCUCUAGAAAACUAUAUAUUUACUGCAUAUCCCACAUUUAACUCAAAUCAGAACUUGACCUAAUAGGCAUAUAAAAAUGACAUCAAACAGUUACUUGUUGGAAAGACUUCUGGUUCCAAAAUAGUGACAAAGAAGCAAGCUGGCUUAACUCUCCCCCACAGAAAACCAAAAACAAAUAUAUAGCACUGAGAUUAUCACCAGCAAUAUCCCAGAAUUCAAAUAAGAGGAUAAGACAGUUCCCAGAGCCAAAGGGAAGUGAAAAGACUCGAAGCACAUGGAAAGAGAAUCAAACCUCUAUAUCCAUGAUGCCCCUGCCCCGAAAAUGCCCCACAUCAAGUGCAUGAGAAUUUUAUGACUCAUGAUUUCUAGAGAGGGAAAAAUGAAAUUAAGAUGGACUACCAGCUUCCCAAUCAUUUUAGAUUCCCUGGCAGGAGACCUGUCCUUACUUCAACCCACAGAAAUCACCAACAGUGUCUGAAGGGAGGAAUAUCCCUGAGAAUCACCCUAAACAAAGGAGGGAGGUAGGACUACCAUCCCCUGCUCUGGAAACUCUGCUCUAUAACUCUGCUAAAGGAGUUGCCAAAUCAGAGUGGCUGUUCAGAAGCAUCACAUUGUAGAAAGUUUGUUCCACAGGUCCCCUGAACACACAUCUGUAGCCAGCCUUCCCACACUAAUGGAAUACCCGCUUAGGGACCUUCCCAUUCUGACCUUCAGCAUUCUGAUUGUUUACUAGAACUGAGACAAACCUAGGCUUUAAGGCCAUCAAGUGCUGAAAAGGAGACAGUGACCUUGUUGGGGUAAAAAUAAAAACAUCAACAGGCAAAUUACAAAAAAAAAAAUCUAAGCAAACAUAUCCUAUAAAAAACAAAACAGACAGCAAACACUAGAAGAAGUAACUAAUUAUUCAAUGCAAAUAUAUAGACAUACAUCUACAAGGAAAAAAAAUGGAAUCAUGAACUCUUCAAAUGAGCAAAGCAAGGAACCAGUGACUGGCUCCACUGGGACGAUGACAUGUGAAUGCUCUUAAUAAAAUUCUAAAUAGUAGUUUUAAGGAACCUCAGUGAUUUCCAAGAUAACACAGAAAAGCAGUCCAGACAUUUACUAGACACAUUUAACAAAGAGAUUGAAAUAAUUUUAAAAAUCAAACAAAAAUCUUCUAACUAAGAAAAACAUUUGCUGAACUGAGAAAUACAUUAGAGGCUCUCAUGAGCAGAAUGGAUCAAGCAUGAAAAUGAUCAGUGAGCUAUUCAAUAAUAUAUAUGAUGAGAAAAAAAUGAAAAGGAAAGCUUACCUACAAGAUAUAGAAAACUACCUCAAAAGAUCAAAUCUAAGAAUUAUUGCUUUUUAAGAACGAGCUGAGCAAAAACAAGGGAUAGAAAACUUACUCAAACAGAAAACUUUCCAAACUCUGAAAAACGGACAAAUAUUUAAGUACAGGAAGG